rnacentral:lncRNA from 1 species
AGUUAAUGAGACUUUAUUUCACGAGGUUCUGUGAAAUAUGGAACGGCAAUAUAUACUGGUACAUACUAUCCGGCAAAACACAGAUAGAUUUUCACUCCUCUGGAAAAAAAAUACCUGUGAUAUACCAUGUCUGGAAAAAAAUUACUGUGACAAAUUAUCCUCAGGAUAAAAUAUCACAGAGGAAGAAAUAAACAGUUACAUAGAAAUCAUCAAGUGCAAACUAACAUUCCUUAUCGCUUGUUAUAAAUUCAUUUCUUCAAUGAAUACUCAUCAAAUACUUUUUAAGAUUCAUCAUAACCUUUUGGCUAAAAUGGCCGUAUUUACACCACAAAUUUUACCGUCCGAGUACAGAAAAACCUGUGCACCUGCGAAAGUUUUAAGGCAUGUCUGGACCUAGAUAACUUAUAAUUUUAGAUGCAUUUUAUGGUUAAGAAAAUUAUAAACUUUUCAGGAUUUUGCUAUUCAUUUUUUCUUUCAUUCCUGCAGAAGGUGCAAAAAUAAACCUAGUUGGGAAAACGUUUGAGAAGCUCCCCUUCUAUAAUCGAUGUUGUCAGUAGUAUUGAUUUAAAUGGACAAUAGAUGGACAAUAGACACCUGUAAACAAUAGGUCUUUUAAACUGUGUAGCGGAGGGGACCGUUUGAAGUGAAAUUCGUGUGUUUGUUUAUUUUGCUAUCUUCUGCAGACUGGAAAAAAUGCAAGUCAAAAUCCAGGUAAGUCAUUAAUUUUCUGAAACAUAGACUUCAUAUAACUUUUAUAUACCUAGGUCCAGCCAUGCCUUAACACUUUCCUAGAUGCAUCAGUUUGUCUGUACUCAUAGUAAAUUUUAGUAUACCACCAUUUCCCAUGUGAAACUGAAAAAUCGCCUAAAAGAAAUAAUCCACAAUUAACAUAAAAAUGUGGGAUAUCAUAAGGAUACAUAUUUGUUUGUUUUUGUUCUGAUUGAGAUUGCGACACGAUGAUGACUGCUAUACCCCUAUUUUUACAAUUUUACUUCUUAUGUCUGUUUUGUUCACAUAUUGUUGUCAAUAUAAUGUAAUUUGAUACGACUUUCAUACACGUGAGAGGUUAAGCGCUAUAAAAACAGGUUCAAUCCACCAUUUUCUACGGUUGAAAAUGUCAAGAAUAUAACAGUUGUUGUUCAUUCGUUUGAUGUGUUUUAUCAUUUGAUUUGGGACUUUCCGUUUUGAUUUUUCCUCGGAGUUCAGUAUUUUUGUGAUUUAACUUUUUAGUACAUCCUAAUAAAUAUCUUAAUUGGAUUUUGUUUAUUUUAUACUUAAGGGGGCUCCUGGGUAUAAAUCAAUUUUUUUUUCUAAUAUAGGAUUUCGCGAAAUUUUUUUUAUAAAUGAACUUUAUCAUAUACUUAAAAGAAAAAUGAAAUAAAAAAAUGGGGUUACCGUUCAUUUAAGCUCACAAUCUGCCUCCGGAAAAAGCAUACAUUUUUGUUAAUGUCCUUUUUUUCUUUUGAGCUAAUAGGGGAAAUAGAGGUAAUACCGAAAUAAAAAAAUAACCUAAUUACAGAUAUCGCUUAAAUUUUACAAUUAUUUAAGUUUAUGUACAGCCUAUUUGAAAACAAUAAUAAAAAAUAAAGGUCACCGAUGAAUUAAAAAAGAUAUUUGACAUUUAAUGCAAAAAAAUGUCAUUUUUGCACCAAAGGGAGAUAAUUUGGAACUUUUUCAAUGAUAUAAACAUUUUAAAAGUCAUCUAAAUUUUUGUAUCGAGUUUAAUUGUGAUUUUGUUUAAUUUUUGCUUAGUUGUACUUAAUUCCACCUGCACUAUUACACAUUACUCUAGUGAUACUUGCCUAAAUUAUUGUUAUUGAUUAUUUAAACUAGAUCAAUAUUUAAUGAUUAUGUGGUUAUAUUAUUGUGAUAUGUUACUAGGAGAUUAUUGAAACCAUUUGGAAGUCCUGUUUUAGUUUAUGAUAAUAUUUGUAAUUUCAUCUGCAAUAAGCAGGCAACUUGAUUUUGAGUCUAUGGUUCUUAGAAGAUAACAUAAACUAUUUCCAAGGACCUCUGUGAUAUCAUUAAUGUAAUAUUAAACACUUCUGUUGACAUGUAUUUAAGUAUGACUCCACCUAAGAAUCAUGCAAUAUGAAGAAAAAGUGAUUUACCCUAUGUAACCAAUAUGCUAGAUAUUUGGUUAUGUGACAUACUUUGAGUAAAAAUUAACAUAUUUUCAACAAGAAUUGUUAAUGCCUACUAUUAAUGUCAUUUAUACCCUAAUAAAAAUUCAGAUGGGCAUGUUUUUUCUCACUAUAUAAGUAUUGGAAAUAUGAUGAAUGCUAUAAUAUAUAUCUGCUGUGAGCAGGCGAGAUGUAGUAAACCAUUUAGCAUUUCAGAAAAUAUAGAAUCUCCCAAACAACAUAUCAAAAAAUUAUAUUUGUAGCCUAUGAUCAGUAAAAAGUUAUUUUCAUUUUAAAUUAACCGCUUUUUCUUACUAUUUCAAGGAAAGACAACUAUUGUUGAACUUCAAAACAAGUAAAUAAAAAUAUUUCAUAAUGUAUUCUGCAUUUAUUAUAAAACUGCAAUUAACAGUGUUCAGAAAUUGAUAAUUUAGUAAACAUUCAUUGUUUAUUGCGUUAAAUUGGAUAGAUAAAUCAUUUUUACAGAUGAUUUUUGUUCAGUGCAUCGAUGUCAUAAACUUUGUGUUUUUAAUGUUAGGUUCUUUCCGACCCCCUCGAUAUUUUUAAGUGUGAACAAAAGAGCAUUUCUCCAAUACUGGUGUGGGUUGUUGUUAAUGAGGUCAACCAACUUCAUUAGAAUGCUAUGUCACAGUUUAACGUCGCUAAAAAAUAAAUUUAAGGAUGUUCGCUACUCUGUUUAAAAAUAACAAGCUUUUUAGAAGAUUGUUAUACAUUGAUAGUAUAUAAAUAUAAAUAAAUUUGGUGUAUUUACUGUCUUCUCAUUGGUUAAAAUUAUUAAUUUUAUUUUCAAUGUUGUCAAUUUUUAUGGCGACACGCCCACUCCGUUGACGUUGUGUAUUCAUACGCCAACAUGUGUGUACGUUGUAAUUAUUAAUAUGAAUAAUAUAAAAAGUUCUUUGAGCGGAUUAUUCAAUGUGAAGAGUCAAAAAUUAAUUUUAUGGUUCAAUAAAUUAAAAAUAAAUAAUAGCCAUUCAUUUGAAAAGAAACUAAAAAAGCAGAAAAGAAGCAAACGUGUGCUUGUUUUCGAGAUAUAAGCCAUUGAAAAUUUGGCGGGAAAUAGUUCUCUCUAGAUUUUUGUUUCACUUAACAUGCAUUGGCACCUUUUUUGUUUAAAAAACUAUGAAAAAAUAACAAGGAUUUCAUAAGAUUUUGAAAUAUGGCUUUUUAAACAAUAUGUAAUAAAAAUAUGAAAAGAAAAGUAGUGGUUAAUGGGCAUUUUUUUUAAUGUUAAUACAUUGAUAAAACCUGAGGAUUCAAAAAUCUGGCAAAAAAUCAAAAAAUAGAGGAGCAAACAUCCUUAACGUUAGCAACGUCAUUACCUCCCCUGUAACUGUAUCGCAUGCUCUUUUAAAAGGGCUUACGAUACAGUUUCGAUCCCAUAUUGAAAUUUUAUAUAAACACCCCUCCUUACCAUGAUAUAUCUGUUUAAAAUUGAGAUUCAAAUUGCAGAAUUUUCCUCAAACUACGGAUUUGUGGACGUUUUUUUUCCUUUCGACAGAAAUAAAUAACUUUUUUUGUUUUAAAAGAUAAACACAAGCUGUUUUUUGUUAAAUUAUUUGUAAUUUCUGUUUUUUAUAUAUAUAUAUAUAUAUAUAUAUUGUACAAAUUUGAACAUUUUAUUUUUACAAAUAACUGAAAUGAAAUUGAUCAAAUGUUCAUGAAUAUAGAAAAAAAACUUCAUUUUUUGCUAUAUAUUAAUCAAAUUAAAAAAAAUUUGCACUAUUUACGUUUUCAUGAAAAUUGGCACACAUAAUCUUCUUACGUAAUCGAACCAAAUGUCAUUUUAAGAAAGAGGGAUCCAUGAACUCGUUUUCUAGUUAAAUCAGUUUAAAUGAUAAAAAUCAGUCGAAAACUGCAUCUUUUCUCGAUAAGUUACAGUUUGACGUCGAAGCAAAAAUAACAAUUUACCGUUUAGCAACGCCAUUACCUCCCCUGUAACUGUAUCGCAUGCUCUUAACAAACGUAGGUGAAUUUUGUGUCUUUUGUCGCUUCUGGCAAGAACAAUAUACAUUACUACCUCAAUCUGCAUGAAAUUGCAAUAGAGUGAGACAUGUCAAACAUCUUGAAUUGAAAAAUCUGUAUGCAUUAUAAGUUAUAUGGUUCGCUACUGACCCCAUACGAAUCCAUAGAGGGUUAGUAAAAUCCAUAGGGGGUGAGGCCGGAGGCCGAGUCCCCUAUGAAUUUUAUUCACCCUCUAUGGAUCCGUAGGGGGUCAGUAGUUAACCGUAUAACGAAUUUAUCGGACGCUGGACUUUUUCUGCGGCGUUUUGUUGAAAAAUAAACAAUGAAAUACAACACCAAAUAGAUGACGUCGCCAUUAACGCGUCAUGAACCCCAUAUGAAACUUACUAACCCCAUACGGUCUCUUAUCGGACCACAGAUGAAUUAUCACGUUGUGAUUGGUUAAAUGCCGUCACGUGGUGACCCCCUAUGAGACCGUAUGGGGUUAGUAAGUUUCAUAUGGGGUUCAUGACGCGUUAAUGGCGACGUCAUCUAUUAAUGUUGUUGUGUUUCAUUGUUUAUUUUUCAACAAAACGCCGCAGAAAAAGACCAGCGUCCGAUAAAUUCGUUAUACGGUUAACUACUGACCCCCUACGGAUCCAUAGAGGGUGAAUAAAAUUCAUAGGGGACCCGGCCUCACCCCCUAUGGAUUUUACUAACCCUCUAUGGAUCCGUAUGGGGUCAGUAGCGAACCAUAUAACUUAUAAUAGGGGGUCACCACGUGACGGCAUUUAACCAAUCACAACGUGAUAAUUCAUCUGUGGUCCGAUAAGUAUUGAUGGAAUGCCAGGGAUGUAUUAAUAUUCUGAAUAUUUUUAUCAUUUGCACGAGUUCCUUCUAAAUGCAGGAACUGGUCACGGUGUUAAAUCAUUUUCAUUUUCAUUUUAGGUCAUAGAUUCCGUCAAGCGGAUAUUAUGGUUGGCCCAACAUUAAGUAAAAUGACGGCAUGCACUUAUUACAAAGGUCCGGCUAGAAGUGGAGAACUCCUUAUACUUAAGUGCAGUAAACCUACAAUUGGACGGAUAGUCAAGAUUGCCUUAAGAGGCAAAGAAUACUUACAAUUUAUGGAAGCUAAAGUGUUUGCGUAUGGCAAGACUUGUUUGGAAAAACCUAAACCUUCACAUUCAAGUUUGAAUGUAACUACACAUUCACCAAAAUAAAACAUUUAUUAUCUGAUAUCAAGUAUUAUGACACUUUUCUUGGUGCUACCAUUAUCUUAUUAAAGAUUAAAUCUGC